GUUUAAAGCCAGUUGAGGGGACAAGGACAAAAUUUAGCCAACUGCGCACUUAUCAGUACAUGGAAGUAGGGCCAGGUUUAGCCAAAAUGAGAUAACUGCUCUUCUUUCGAGGAGAGUCGUUCAGGUGACCCUCCACAGUGUGUAACACCGAACACCUCCAGCUUCCUAUCUCUCAGAGGAGACAUGAAAGUAACAUAAAUGAGCAAAGCUUUUCAUGGAGAAAAUUAAUUCACCAGGGAAUAAAUGCAUUUGAUUGUCUGGUGAAGCUGUUUUUUUCAAACAGUUCUUCCAAAUCACAGCAAAAGGUUUUAUAAGGUUACACCAAAUGAUAAGACCAAGCCAGGACUCAGAGCCAGACAUGUAAAAGGUUCAGAGGGUGAAUGCUAAUCUUUAAUGUGAGCGUAGCACUUAAUACUAUCCACAGUGUAUGGCUCUGCCUUGGUUCCAGCUCAGAAUCUGACUACCUUCCUCACUGAUUAUUUUGGGAGGCUAAUUAUGCUUCCAAACCCUGCCUUGGACUAAAGUUAUUUUAGAGAUCUGUGCAAGCAGUUCUGUCAGAGCCACUUUACAAGAUCUGCUGGGAAACCUGCCUGCUUACGUUGUAAUGUUACUCUUCAGCAAACAUGACUUUAUCCUUCUUGGGAUUGGACUGCACUGUGGAAGAUUUUAGAUGUUAUCUAAAAUCUCAACACCCUCCCAGGAAGAUUGGCAUCAGUUAAGUUAUCUACGCAAAAGUGCCAGAGUUGGCAAAAACAGCGGCAACAAGAGAACAGGGUGCCCAGUAAAACGUGAAUUUUAGACAAACAACAAAUAUUUUUAAGUGUAAGUAAUUCUCAUGCUUAUAUUAAAUUCACAUUGAACUGGGCACCUGUACUUUGUCUGGCAACCCUACCCAGGUGCUGAAGGUUAUUCUAGAAGCUUUUUUUCAAGGUGUUUCAGAAACUACUUUGUAUAAUGGCAGCAUAACUGUCUCACAGUGGAAUCUCUCAAGAUAACUGUCUUGAAGGGGGUAGCAUUCUUUACAUGUUGAAAUGAUCAGAUGCUGUUUUUUUUUAAGGAAUCACCUUAUCUUGCUGUCAGAUUUCACAAUAGAGCCUUCCCCCAUAAAAACACUGCUUCACAGUUAAUAAGCAUAAAAAGUAUGUGGAUUUCACUAAUGUUCAUUAUUUCUUGACCUGACUCUGAUCUUUUAAGUUAUGAAUAAACAGUUCCUUGUAGCCUUUCCACAAUCAACCUAUGUUUAUUUUAUACGAGCUAGGUCAACUGGUUUUACUCAAAUACCAUAAGGAACAAUGAAUUAAAAAAAUACAAGUUUGUGUUACCACCAUAAGAAACAAAAAGGGAGAUUCCCUACUGAAGACGGGCUUAUGAGGCCUUGGACUUCACUUUGUUUCCCUGACAUUAGCGGGAAAGGUAGAGGUGUGAGAAUAUCUGAGAGAGCCUUUGUUCCUCAAGGCUGGUUAUUUAACCAUUACCUAGUAAUUUCAACCUGUCAUUUCAGAACCCCAGCAGUGAAACACACCAGCACAUACAUGGCUCAUGGAAUUGAGAGGGCUGAGGCUGUGAUGCAUAGCAAGAGAACUGCAUCUCGUGGUUAAAAAGUGAGGUCGGGCUGAGAACUGUUACUGCUUUUGCAAACCUGAAUCAUGGCCUGAGUGAGGAUGGAGAAUAACAGUUCAAAGAAAAUCACAAGCAAAUGAAAUAGAAAAGAGAAGCAAUUACUAACUCCAAGAAAAGCAUGAAGUUACGUGAAUUCUUCAGGCACCUCCCAGCCUCAGUCACUCAUCUUAGAAACACAAAGCGCUCACACAUGCAAACUCGAGUUGGCUCCACUGAAGAUGAAUAGAGCCGGUAACACACAGGCUCAUGUGGCUGGCCUCUGAGCUAUGCAGACUCGCUGAUCAGUGGGCCGCAGAAGCUUGCCCUGAGAUUUUCCGGUGUUCCCCAGGAAACAAAGGUGGUACACAAUGAAAGAGAGAAGUCAGCUCCAACCGGCGCCAGCCCCACACUCCACCCAAACCAGAAGAGCAGGAGCCGAAUGUCACAGAAGGCAUUGUUGUGUUUCUUCCUCCCACCACCUAGACUCAGGGCCUUCUGAGUGUCCCAGGAAGCUUGAGCCAAUGGGAUGCAGAGGCCAGGUCUCUGCACACUACCAAGAAACAGAGCAGUCACUGUGAGUAUGACAGAGUCUGGCACUGGAGAGAAAAUAAUCAUCGAAAGACUCCUGUGGUGAAAACAGUCCCGCCCACUUAGAUUGACUUCCUGACACUUGAGGAUGAUUUUACGUCCUGGCCUGGAGUGAAGAAUAGAAGCUACAGAGAAAAGGGUUGGAGCAACUGAUGUGGGCAAGAAGGAGAAUCAGGGUUCUGGAAAUAGGAAACCCUGACUUUCCAUUUAUGGAAGGUAUACCAAUUCAGAGUCUUACCGACGUUCACGUGGCUGUCAGUACUGGAAUCCAGGUUUCAAAUUUCCAAUAUAAUACUUUUUCAUUUGUGACUUAAAAAAAUAUCUAUCUGUCUAUCUCUCUCUCUCUCUAUAUAUAUAUACCUACAAGCUUUUCAACAAAUGUUUGCAAAUGUUAGUAAAAAAUUCAUAAUCACAACCUUCCAAUAACCAUUGCCAUUUUUGUCUUUCUUCUCAAUGUUUAUUUUCAUAACCUUUACUAUAACCAUAGCCAUUAAACAUGCACGUCUCUGUUCUUCCAAUACAUGUCUUCCUAUGCCAGGAUCUGUCCUAAAUAACCCGAUGUCACUACCCUCAGAGAACUCAUAUUCCAGCGGAGUGGGAGAGGAUACACAAACAAUGUACAAUCUAUUCCCAUUAAUGAGGAUAAUCUGCUUCUCAAACAGGCCCUUUUAGGAUGAACUGUCAUAGGCAGAAAUGUACUUUACAUUAAUUUCAGCAGCAAAACACUUUUUUUUCCUUUUGUGGCCACAAAUUAACACCCACUUUUGUUUAAAAAGCAUCAAUAAUAUUAAAAUAGAUGCAAUUAUCCCACAAGUGAGUAGUUACCCUCAGACCUACGCCUGUCGCCAUGGGUCAUCUAUAUGAUACUCAGAGUAUAUACAUAAUUAGUGCUUAAUAUAAAAAGAAUAGACAAUGAAGACACUGAUGAAAGUUAUGCAUGUGAUUACAUCCUGAGUACUUCAGAGGAGACACUCAAGACUGCCAAGGUGAUGCUUGGUAGCUGUGCUGAAUGUGAUCAAUAGCUUCCUAGGUUCAGGAAAUCCAAACCCACCCUCUUCAGAAAGAACCAUGCCUCAUAGGCCACAGCUGGAGCACAGAUGCGAUCUACACAUUCCCGUCCACAGCAGGGCUGAGCAGUGCCGGGGAAGCUGCAGUGGUGGAAGGAAAGACGACUGGAUAAAGAGCAGGAAGAGCUGGACGUGGGUCGGGCAGGGAGGAGGUGGUUCUGCGUAAGCGCCCUUUUGUAACCUCUGCAGUUCUGCUUUCCUCACUAGGGUUGACAGAUGCCUCCUUGGUGCAUGCAGCUUUCCCUCCUUGUCUCCAAACGCAUUUUCUUUUCUUCUGAAGACUUUCCCAGUUAACCGUCUGCAGCAUUCUUUCAUUUAAAAUAUUUGUCAAAACUUCUGUUUGCUGGAAAUUGGUUUUUCUCUCCUUUCAUCUCUAUUCC